rnacentral:rRNA from 1 species
CUACGUGCCAGCAGCCGCGGUAAUACGGAAGGUCCAGGCGUUAUCCGGAUUUAUUGGGUUUAAAGGGAGCGUAGGCUGGAGAUUAAGUGUGUUGUGAAAUGUAGACGCUCAACGUCUGAAUUGCAGCGCAUACUGGUUUCCUUGAGUACGCACAACGUUGGCGGAAUUCGUCGUGUAGCGGUGAAAUGCUUAGAUAUGACGAAGAACUCCGAUUGCGAAGGCAGCUGACGGGAGCGCAACUGACGCUUAAGCUCGAAGGUGCGGGUAUCAAACAGGAUUAGAUACCCUGGUAGUCCGCACAGUAAACGAUGGAUGCCCGCUGUUGGUACCUGGUAUCAGCGGCUAAGCGAAAGCAUUAAGCAUCCCACCUGGGGAGUACGCCGGCAACGGUGAAACUCAAAGGAAUUGACGGGGGCCCGCACAAGCGGAGGAACAUGUGGUUUAAUUCGAUGAUACGCGAGGAACCUUACCCGGGCUUGAAUUGCAGAGGAAGGAUUUAGAGAU